AACGAACGCUGGCGGCAUGCCUAACACAUGCAAGUCGAACGAGACCUUCGGGUCUAGUGGCGCACGGGUGCGUAACGCGUGGGAAUCUGCCCCUCGGUUCGGAAUAACACAGAGAAAUUUGUGCUAAUACCGGAUAAUGACGAAAGUCCAAAGAUUUAUCGCCGAGGGAUGAGCCCGCGUAGGAUUAGCUAGUUGGUGGGGUAAAAAGCCUACCAAGGCGACGAUCCUUAGCUGGUCUGAGAGGAUGAUCAGCCACACUGGGACUGAGACACGGCCCAGACUCCUACGGGAGGCAGCAGUGGGGAAUAUUGGACAAUGGGCGAAAGCCUGAUCCAGCAAUGCCGCGUGAGUGAUGAAGGCCCUAGGGUUGUAAAGCUCUUUUACCAGGGAUGAUAAUGACAGUACCUGGAGAAUAAGCUCCGGCUAACUCCGUGCCAGCAGCCGC
rnacentral:rRNA from 1 species